rnacentral:rRNA from 1 species
UUUCCUUCGGAGACCAGGUGACAGGUGCUGCAUGGCUGUCGUCAGCUCGUGUCGUGAGAUGUUCGGUUAAGUCCGGCAACGAGCGCAACCCACGUCCCUAGUUGCCAGCAUUCAGUUGGGCACUCUAUGGAAACUGCCGAUGAUAAGUCGGAGGAAGGUGUGGAUGACGUCAAGUCCUCAUGGCCCUUACGGGUUGGGCUACACACGUGCUACAAUGGUGGUGACAGUGGGUUAAUCCCCAAAAGCCAUCUCAGUUCGGAUUGUCCUCUGCAACUCGAGGGCAUGAAGUUGGAAUCGCUAGUAAUCGCGGAACAGCAUGCCGCGGUGAAUACGUUCCCGGGUCUUGUACACACCGA